ensembl:lncRNA
GGGCUGCACCCGUGGCACAUGGAAGUUCCCAGGCUAGGGUCAAAUCAGAGCCUCAGCUGCUGGCCUGCACCACAGCCACAGCACUGCCGGAUCGCUAACCCACUGAGCAAGGCCAGGGAUUGAACUCGCAUCCUCAUGCAUACUAGCCAGGUUUGUUAACUGCUGAGCCACGACGGGAACUCCUCCAUAAUCUUCUAUUUAUUUGUGAGCUGCUGCAAGAACAAUUGUAUAGUGAUUGUUGAUUAUACUUUAAGUCCUUUAAUUACCACUAACACAAUAAGUUAAAUAUGAUAAGCCGUUAAUGGCAGUAAUUAGUAAGCAGUAUAUUUUAGCCGACCCCAUGCCUACUGAUUUUCUGGGAGGCAGUAGAUGGAAGAGAAGCAGGUUCACCAAACUUCGGCCUUGGCACCAUCUGCUUCCUUUUCCCCUUCUUCCUUUCCUUCUUACUCUUCCUCCUCCUUCCCAUUCACUGAUUUAAUUACUUAACAAAUACUCAUUAAACCACCUUCACGAGCCGGGUCUCUGUGAGGAAGCUGCUUUCUUGUCCAGCUGACCCAGGGCUGCUGGUGGCAAUGCAGUAGAUUAGCGGAAGUCAUCCCGGCGUUCCCGGCGUGGCUCAGGGGUUAGCAAACCUGACUGGCAUCUAUGAGGAAGCAGGUUCGACCCCUGGCCUCGCUCGUGGGUUAAGGAUCUGGCGUUGCCGUGAGCUGUGGUGUAGGUCGCAGAUGUGGCUCAGAUCUGGCAUGGCUGUGGCUGUGGCGCAGGCCGGCAGCUGUAGCUCUGAUUCGACCCCUCACCUGGGAACCUCCCUAUGCCUCGGGUGAAGCCCUUAAAAAAAAAGAAUUAUCCGCUUACGCUGAAUGGCAGAAUCCACCUUUUUCUCUACAACACGAUCCUUUGUGUAAAGCCAGGGCUUUCAACAUUGGCAAUGUUGACAUUUAGGGCCCGACAAGUCCUUGCCGUUGGGCCCUGUCCUGUGUGUGGUAGGAUGUUUGGCAGCACCUGCUAGAGGUCAGUGGUACCACCCAGUUUGGACAAUCAAAAAUGUUUCCAGACAUUACUCAAUGUCAACAAAAAUCAUGUUAUUUAAGAGCCACUGGCAUAAAGGAACCACGAAACGGAGUUUUGCUGGGGUUGCUUUUCACACCCCCGUGUUCAAGACCGGACGCCAAAGUAAGUUUCAGGAGGGAAUGGGUGUGCGUGUACGUGUGUGUGUGCGUGUGUGUGUGUACACUCCUCACAGGUGUCAGCUAAUUAUCUAUGGCGACAGACGGAAACAUCCACAGUGCCGUUUAAGAUGAUUGGUGUUUCUGUCCUAAACACUUUUCCCCAAGGUCCUGCCUUUCAAGAAACAAUAUUGGCUUUUACCUGAGGUAUUUACGGCCACGGAAUUCAUUGAGGGAUAAAGGAUGCAUCCACGAAACUUACUGUGACAGUAAGAUUGCUUUUCCUUCCUUGACGACCCAGGCCAUAGACAUCAUUCUACAAACGUGUUAAUUCCAAGUUUACAAUAGCUAUCUAUUAGUUUCAUAUUGGCCAAAUUUAUGAUACAUUAGGCCUGUAUUUUAUGCUCUUUGCAAAGUCUUGCCCCUUUCAUGGGCCCGAGGUCAUCAUUUUGCUAAUUCAAAUGAUUCUGGAGGGUUUAUGGGGGUUGUAUCUUGUCUGUGUGACAUAUGGUUGGUUAUAUCUAUGAUUUAUUUGCUGCUGAGUCCUUGGUCGGGAACACAACUUCCAAUUAUCCAACUCAUUAUAACAUUGUUCCGUGGGAAAACUUCAGCAGCUGAAACUGUUGACUAACUAGAAUCAAAAAGAGCAGCUUAAGAUCAGAUAAGCUAAAAGUUUGUUUUGGUUGACAAUCUCCAACAUUCACAAGGCGAGGACUAAGCUCCAGCUCUCAUGGGUGGAUAUUUUGCAGUUCCCCAUGCUGCACGGGGCCAUGCUUGUAGCUUUUACUGUCAAGAUGGCCAGUUGGUAAGAAUUAUUCUGAAAAUGUUCCAAGUUAAAAAUAAUUGGGUUCUGAAAGACAAACUAAAUAAAAGCAGUGUCCUUGCUCAGUAAAUCCGACUUCAAGAUAAUUUCCCUCGUCCCAUAUUCCUAACAGAUUGCUGCUUUUAGAGAGAAAUUCUGAUACAUCCAUUGCAAGAGCAUCUGAAUGAGUUAUAUUGUCAAAAUACUGCUGCGAGCCUAUCUCAAAGCCCAGCAGCUUCUUACACGAGUUUGCCUUCACUCCACUAAAACAGACUCCUCUAGCUGCUAUGAGUUGGAUUCAGGUCUGCUCCCAUGUGUGUUCACCCCAGAAUCCAAGCUGAAGGGGCCACGCUAUCUGCAGCAGGCUCUUUAAAUGGAAGAUUCCCAAAGCAGAAAAUCCAAAAGGUACAGGCUCAUUUAAGACCUGUCCACUAACAUUCCAUGGCUAUAGAAAAACAUAUGUGAGGAUACAGGAGAAGCAACAACGAGUCAGGAAAAUAAACUUCACCCACACAGGAAAGGGAAAGAAAGAGGUAUUUGAACAAUAAUUUCGUUCAAGUAAGUUUGAACGAUAAUUCAAACUAUCACCAAAAAGUCAUUUGAAAGAGAGAACUCAAAGGACUAUUAAAUGGAGAAUUUGGGUUUUGUUUUUGUUGUUGUUGUUGCUGCUCAUUCUUGAGUUACCCCAGGCCACAUGGCUUCUUCCAUGUAUCCAGUUUUUAUCCAGGGAGUCUCCCCUCCUGUUUUUCAGCCCCACGAAGGAGCCAGGCUGGAAGUGGACAGCUUGGUGUGGACCUUAUGGUCGCUGUGCCCGGCUGGCGACCUCAGGUGCAGCCUCCAGGUCAGGCCGUCUUGGCACUUCCUGCCUUUGCCAGUGCUCCGGAGACGUGGAUGGAAACGCACUAACAUACACCACAAACCUGAAUGCCUGCUAGACUCUCCCUAGCAGGUGCGGCAAGCUGAAAUUGCUAUUUUUGUGUAUUUUUUCCCAAGCGGAGACGUCGUUAGGAAGCAUGGCGGGUAAAUGUGACAUGGACGACAGAGCCUCCCCAAAGCAAGGAGGCGCAGGUUCUUGAAACCAGUAUUUUUAAAGUUAAAAUUUGCUGAAAUCGGAGUUCAGAAGGUCCUGGUGAAGAGGAAUUCCAAGGCCUCUGGAGUGGAAUUGACAGGCUGGGGUAGAUAAGGUCAUUAUAGGCGUCCCGAUAGGGACCAGAGCUAGAGAGGGAAACCCAGGGGACUUUGGGAGACACUGUGAGUUAAUAAACACCCAAGAAAGCCAUCGGCAGGAAGCAGACUUGCUUAAAACCAUGAAUAAAAGCAUGAGCUAUGCCUCAAGUCAUUAAGUGAAAGAUAAAAUGAGGCCUGCGUUCAAGUUCAGCGAGAUAAUGCUCCUUAGAGCCAAGGGGAGGAAUUGAAGGGAAAGAUGACCUUCCUUCCAAAGUAGGAGACCCCUCGCUGUACAGAAACCUGAGAUGCUUCCACAUGUUAGCCUCUGGUACCACCUUCUGCGAAUUCGAAGAAGCACCGGGACAGUUCUGGUUUGACCUCAGAGGGUCAGAUACUCUGACCAGAUACGAAGGAGGAGCUAAGGCUGUGAGUCUGGCGUCCACGAGAAGAAAGAGGAAGAAGGCGGUUUUCCCCCUCCCGCUCUCCUUGGAUUCCAGAAACGUAGCCCACCUGCUCCCCAGGGCAGCGCCUCCUCACCUGCCCGCCUGUAUCCCUCACAAGCAUCCUACUUUAGUAAAUCUAUUUCUUGCCUAUCACUUUGUCUCUCGCCGAAUUCCUUCUGAGCUGGACACAAAGAGCCUGAACCUCAGAAAGUCCAGACACCAGGUGAGUGAUUCUACUUAGAAAACUGUGGGUUUAGGUCCCAGUCUGGGUUCUCCCGGGUUCAAGUCAUAUGUGUUGUUAAUUUCAGAAUAUCCAGGGAGCCAGAGAGAAGCCAGGCACGGGGCCCCCUCUUCCUGAGCUGUGACAUUUCAGAGAACCAUGGUUCUGCAGCCUCCCAGGGCGUUGACCAGCCCCUGGGGAAAGAAGGUUCUAGGCCCUGGGGAGAGGAAGAGGCAGCAGGAGAGCAGUGGAGGGCGGGCAGGAGCCACCACAGCCAGGUAGGAAAGACUUUAAACUAGAGAAAAGGACAAUCUCACAAUAGGCCCCAGCCAUUUAUUUAGAAUAUUAAAAUUGGAUGUACCCUCUUUUUCACUCCAACCUGGACAAGUUACCUAUGUCCACAGUAGGAAUAUAAACCAUACUGGCAGACCAGGGGAGUUCCCAUUGUGGCUCAGCAAGUUACGAACCUGACUAGUCUCCUUAAGGACACGGGUUCAAAAUCUGGCCUCGCUCAAUGGGUUAAGGAUCCAGCGUUGCUGUGAGCUGUGCGGUAGGUCACAGGCAUGGCUGGGACUCUGCAUUGCUGUGGCUCUGGUGGAGGCAGGCAGCUGCAGCUCCAAUUCGACCCCUAACCCAGGAACUUCCAUAUGCUGCAGGUGAAAAAAAAAGAAUUCACCAGGGCUAAAGAUGUGCUCCCGAACCCCCCGGUGGAGGAAGCACCAGCACCCCAGUCCCAGUUUCAGGAAACCCUUCAGGCUUUGUGAAGAUCGUCGCCUUCCCUCCCCAUCAGGACCCACCUCAGAGCUCAGGCCUCAGGAGUCAGGCCCAGACUCAUGGCCAAGGAGCCAGGGACAGCAGCCUGGGGCAAAACCGAAAUUACAGGCCUGCUUGUCGGGAAGCAACAAAACUCUGACUUUUUCACUGAGCCGCCAAGUCCACCACAGUACCUCCCCGCUGGAAAGAGCCCACCAGUAUGUCUCAUUUCAUCCAAAAUGAGCAGGGAGUUCCUGCUGCGGCUGAGUGGGAAGGAACCUGAUGAGUAUCCACGUGGAUGUGGGUUCAAUCCCUGGCCUCGCUCAGUGCGUUAAGCAUCUGGCAUUAACGUGAGCUGUGGUGUACACAGAGGCGGCUCAGAUCUGGUGUGGCUGUGGCUGUGCUGUAGGCUGGCAGCUGCACCUCCAGUUUGACCCCUAGCCUGGGAACCUCCAUGUGCUGCUGUGGGUGCAGCCCUAAAAAAAAAAAA